rnacentral:rRNA from 2 species
CCAACAGGGAUUGCCCUAGUAACGGCGAGUGAAGCGGCAAGAGCUCAAAUUUGAAAUCUGGCCCCUCCGGGGUCCGAGUUGUAAUUUGCAGAGGAUGCUUCGGGUGCGGUCCCCAUCUAAGUGCCCUGGAACGGGCCGUCAUAGAGGGUGAGAAUCCCGUCUGGGAUGGGUGGCCGUGCCCGUGUGAAGCUCCUUCGACGAGUCGGGUUGUUUGGGAAUGCAGCUCUAAAUGGGUGGUAAAUUUCAUCUAAAGCUAAAUAUUGGCCGGAGACCGAUAGCGCACAAGUAGAGUGAUCGAAAGAUGAAAAGCACUUUGAAAAGAGAGUUAAACAGCACGUGAAAUUGUUGAAAGGGAAGCGCUUGCGACCAGACUCGCCCGCGGGGGUUCAGCCGGUACUCGUACCGGUGUAUUCCCCCGUGGGCGGGCCAGCGUCGGUUUGGGCGGCCGGUCAAAGGCCCCCGGAAUGUGUCGCCUCUCGGGGCGUCUUAUAGCCGGGGGUGCAAUGCGGCCAGCCUGGACCGAGGAACGCGCUUC